CCUACGGGAGGCUGCAGUGAGGAAUAUUGGUCAAUGGGCGAGAGCCUGAACCAGCCAAGUCGCGUGAAGGAUGAAGGAUCUAUGGUUUGUAAACUUCUUUUAUAUGGGAAUAAAGUGUGGAACGUGUUCUUUUUUGUAUGUACCAUAUGAAUAAGCAUCGGCUAACUCCGUGCCAGCAGCCGCGGUAAUACGGAGGAUGCGAGCGUUAUCCGGAUUUAUUGGGUUUAAAGGGUGCGUAGGUGGUUAAUUAAGUCAGCGGUGAAAGUCUGUGGCUCAACCAUAAAAUUGCCGUUGAAACUGGUUGGCUUGAGUAUAUUUGAGGUAGGCGGAAUGCGUGGUGUAGCGGUGAAAUGCAUAGAUAUCACGCAGAACUCCGAUUGCGAAGGCAGCUUGCUAAGCUAUAACUGACACUGAAGCACGAAAGCGUGGGGAUCAAACAGGAUUAGAUACCCCUGUAGUC
rnacentral:rRNA from 1 species